GAAGAAUGUGACCAGUAGCCAGAACAGUCAAUGAGGAGAGGAGAAGGGACUUCCAAGACAAAAGGAAGGGGAGCAAAGGUAAUUGCUAUCUGGUAAUUGCCCCAUGUCAUACAUGGGAAUACAACAGAGAACAAAUGGACAAAGUCGCUGCUGUCAUGGAGGGGAGAUGAAAAAGUAGCACAGAGAGCUCAUCUCCAUGAAAGGCUGCAAAUACCAGAUGCCUGCCUUUCAGUCAACGCAUGAACGAGUCGUUCAAAAAUCCCCACAAUGGUUCCAUAAGUUGUAGCUUACGGCCAGAUAGAUGGGAAAAGGGAGAGACCGCAAGUCACGAGCCAGUCAGGAGGCUUUCACUGGAUUCUAGAACAGAGGUAAGGUAUGUCUGAAGAGCAGUAAUGGUCAUAGGACAAGAGAUAUGGGUUGAGCGAGGCAGAGAUGACAGACAUGGAAGUGACAGGUUCUGGGAACUGGAUGUGAGCAGAAAGGGAGAGAGGAAUCAGCUGAGGAGGUGGUGAGUGGGAGAGUGACAGAACCUUCUGGAGCAAGGGCCACAGUGUGGCUAGAAAAAAAUGAAUCUGGUGAGGUGGUGGCUGUGAGGUGGUGGCCAUUAGUUCAAUAUGGAGUACAUCAACAUGCAAGGGAAGGGAAAAGAUUCCCAUCUUGAGAGACUAUCUAAAAGGCAAGAAUAGAAACUCACCAGACUUGUUCACAGAUCUGGUCUAUGUAUAGGUUAUUCAUUCUACCCCCCCACUCCCUCCACCUCUCCCCCCCCCUCCCCCACCCCAUGCUCUUUGCCUGGCAAACUCCUAUUUAUUCUUCUACACUCAGAUUAAUUCCCAACUCCUCAGUGAAGCCUCCUUAUCCUACCCUGACGCAGAAUUUGUUCCUUUCCUAUGUUCCCAGAGCCUUUCGUGGACACCUGAAUCCUAUCAUUUGCCACACACAAUGCAUUGUCAUUUCCCUGCUCCCUCCCUCUUCAGUGUUAGACUGCAGGUGCCCUCCCUAGAGACCAGCUUAAUGCUUUUUGUAUUCCUGGCAUUUAAUACUGUGCCUAGAAGAUAUAAUAGGUAAUCACCAAAUCAGUGAUGAAUGAACAAGUGAAUAAAUGAAUGAAAUAUUGAUCAUAGAAAAAAGGUAGAGGUUAAAAGUGUUAGCAGAGAGUGAUGAAAUUUUGAAACAUUUAAGUUAGGAUAUUUUGACAUCCAUGGAGAAUGGUGGAGUAGAUGAGGUUAUCCUUGGCAACUCUUAGAUUCUAUAUGUGGAAGGAGGAGAUCUAAAUCUGAGCUGACAUCAGAUAUGAAGAGGGAUUACAGUCAUUACCUGAGAAUAGCUCAAGAAGGGUGCUGAGAAGUGAGUGAAAUAUUUGAUGAAGGUGAAAGCCAGAGCCCACAGAGAACCUGAAGGUCAGGAAAUCAGGAGAAUAAGUCUUUAGGAUUUUCUGGAAACAUAGCAGUCACAUUUUAUGAUGCAAUCGUGGCGAUGCAAUCAUGGAAAUCUUACAUACUCAACGUUGGUUUUUCCAUAGGACUCAAUGUAAGGGGGGGGGGUGUUCAUUCUCGGCUGUCAGGUGUAUAAACGUGAUAGUUUUGUAUCAUUUUUCAGGGGGGGCUGAUCUUGCAGCCAGGCCAAUGGCAUUUUUUUCAUUGUUUCCAUUCUUCUCCCCCUUUCUGAGGACAAUUUGAGAAGAUUAAAGUUAUGCUGGCUAUAA